rnacentral:rRNA from 1 species
AGAGUUUGAUCAUGGCUACAGAACGAACGCUGGCGGCAUGCCUAACACAUGCAAGUCGAGCGGGAUCCAGGCUUCGGCCUGGUGAGAGUGGCGGACGGGUGAGUAACACGUGGGAACCUGCCUUUUGGUUCGGGAUAACCGCGGGAAACUGCGGCUAAUACCGGAUGCUCCCGAGAGGGGAAAGAUUUAUCGCCAGAAGAGGGGCCCGCGUCCGAUUAGGUAGUUGGUGAGGUAAUGGCUCACCAAGCCGACGAUCGGUAGCUGGUCUGAGAGGAUGAUCAGCCACACUGGGGACUGAGAUACGGCCCAGACUCCUACGGGAGGCAGCAGUGGGGAAUAUUGGACAAUGGGGGCAACCCUGAUCCAGCAAUGCCGCGUGAGUGAUGAAGGCCUUAGGGUUGUAAAGCUCUUUUGCCAGGGAAGAUGAUGACUGUACCUGGAGAAUAAGCCCCGGCUAACUUCGUG